rnacentral:lncRNA from 10 species
ACUAUGUGAUAGAUUUUUAGACAUUCUAGGGAUGCUUGAGAAUAAUGCGUAUUCACUCUUUAUAGAAUAUUGAAUCUAAAUAAAUCAAUCUUAAUUCAAAUUUAAUUUGUAAAUAUUUGUCAUUUUUCUCUUGAACUCAUAAUGUUUACAUAUUUUUAUGAUACUAAGUAAUGAUUUAUAAUUGUUAUGUAUUAUUGACUUAACCCCUUAUCUAUUUAAAAAUAAAUAGACCAUUAAUACCUUUGAAGCUUUUGAGUCUUUAAUUUUAUAAUAAUGUAAUCACUGCCUUUCUUUUUUUUUGCUUCUAUUUGCUAAUACUUAUCUGCCCACACUUUUAUUGACAUUUCUCUAUCAUAUCAUUUUAGAAAUGUUGUUAACCACAUAUAGCUGAAAUUUAUUUUGAACUGAAUGACAGUAUUUUCCUUUUACCUGAGGAACAGGAUUUAGCCUAUUUAUUACUUUCUGAAAUAAGUGAUACACUUGAUCCUCUGUUUUUAUGUUUCUGUUAGCUGUGUUUUAUCUCUUUAUAAGGACUAUAAUUUUAUUUUUCUUAAAUCUACUGCAGUAGGUAUACUCUUUUUGGGAACCCAGCCUAAGAUACUUAUCUCUCUCUCAAAGCAUAGUGCUGAGCACAUAUAAAAUUCAAUGAAGAUUUAUUAGUACAGGGAUUUUUGAUAUAAGUAGAAUCACAA